rnacentral:rRNA from 1 species
UACGGGGGGGGCAAGCGUUGUUCGGAAUUACUGGGCGUAAAGGGCUCGUAGGUGGCCAACUAAGUCGGACGUGAAAUCCCUCGGCUUAACCGGGGAACUGCGUCCGAUACUGGUUGGCUUGAGUUUGGGAGAGGGAUGCAGAAUUCCCGGUGUAGUGGUGAAAUGCGUAGAGAUCGGGAGGAACACCCGUGGCGAAGGCGGCCAGCUGGGAUACACCUGACGCUGAGGCACGAAGGCGUGGGGAGCGAACGGG